rnacentral:rRNA from 1 species
UUAAGGGCGCACGGUGGAUGCCUUGGCACUAGAAGCCGAUGAAGGACGUUACUAACGACGACAUGCUUUGGGGAGCUGUAAGUAAGCUUUGAUCCAGAGAUUUCCGAAUGGGGAAACCCAGCAUGAGUUAUGUCAUGUUAUCGAUAUGUGAAUACAUAGCAUAUCAGAAGGCACACCCGGAGAACUGAAACAUCUUAGUACCCGGAGGAAGAGAAAGAAAAUUCGAUUCCCUUAGUAGCGGCGAGCGAAACGGGAAGAGCCCAAACCAACAAGCUUGCUUGUUGGGGUUGUAGGACACUCUAUACGGAGUUACAAAGGACGACAUUAGACGAAUCAUCUGGAAAGAUGAAUCAAAGAAGGUAAUAAUCCUGUAGUCGAAAAUGUUGUCUCUCUUGAGUGGAUCCUGAGUACGACGGAGCACGUGAAAUUCCGUCGGAAUCUGGGAGGACCAUCUCCUAAGGCUAAAUACUCUCUAGUGACCGAUAGUGAACCAGUACCGUGAGGGAAAGGUGAAAAGCACCCCGGAAGGGGAGUGAAAUAGAACCUGAAACCGUGUGCUUACAAGUAGUCAGAGCCCGUUAAUGGGUGAUGGCGUGCCUUUUGUAGAAUGAACCGGCGAGUUACGAUUUGAUGCAAGGUUAAGCAGUAAAUGUGGAGCCGUAGCGAAAGCGAGUCUGAAUAGGGCGUUUAGUAUUUGGUCGUAGACCCGAAACCAGGUGAUCUACCCUUGGUCAGGUUGAAGUUCAGGUAACACUGAAUGGAGGACCGAACCGACUUACGUUGAAAAGUGAGCGGAUGAACUGAGGGUAGCGGAGAAAUUCCAAUCGAACCUGGAGAUAGCUGGUUCUCUCCGAAAUAGCUUUAGGGCUAGCCUCAAGUGAUGAUUAUUGGAGGUAGAGCACUGUUUGGACGAGGGGCCCCUCUCGGGUUACCGAAUUCAGACAAACUCCGAAUGCCAAUUAAUUUAACUUGGGAGUCAGAACAUGGGUGAUAAGGUCCGUGUUCGAAAGGGAAACAGCCCAGACCACCAGCUAAGGUCCCAAAAUAUAUGUUAAGUGGAAAAGGAUGUGGCGUUGCCCAGACAACUAGGAUGUUGGCUUAGAAGCAGCCAUCAUUUAAAGAGUGCGUAAUAGCUCACUAGUCGAGUGACACUGCGCCGAAAAUGUACCGGGGCUAAACAUAUUACCGAAGCUGUGGAUUGUCCUUUGGACAAUGGUAGGAGAGCGUUCUAAGGGCGUUGAAGCAUGAUCGUAAGGACAUGUGGAGCGCUUAGAAGUGAGAAUGCCGGUGUGAGUAGCGAAAGACGGGUGAGAAUCCCGUCCACCGAUUGACUAAGGUUUCCAGAGGAAGGCUCGUCCGCUCUGGGUUAGUCGGGUCCUAAGCUGAGGCCGACAGGCGUAGGCGAUGGAUAACAGGUUGAUAUUCCUGUACCACCUAUAAUCGUUUUAAUCGAUGGGGGGACGCAGUAGGAUAGGCGAAGCGUGCGAUUGGAUUGCACGUCUAAGCAGUAAGGCUGAGUAUUAGGCAAAUCCGGUACUCGUUAAGGCUGAGCUGUGAUGGGGAGAAGACAUUGUGUCUUCGAGUCGUUGAUUUCACACUGCCGAGAAAAGCCUCUAGAUAGAAAAUAGGUGCCCGUACCGCAAACCGACACAGGUAGUCAAGAUGAGAAUUCUAAGGUGAGCGAGCGAACUCUCGUUAAGGAACUCGGCAAAAUGACCCCGUAACUUCGGGAGAAGGGGUGCUCUUUAGGGUUAACGCCCAGAAGAGCCGCAGUGAAUAGGCCCAAGCGACUGUUUAUCAAAACACAGGUCUCUGCUAAACCGUAAGGUGAUGUAUAGGGGCUGACGCCUGCCCGGUGCUGGAAGGUUAAGAGGAGUGGUUAGCUUCUGCGAAGCUACGAAUCGAAGCCCCAGUAAACGGCGGCCGUAACUAUAACGGUCCUAAGGUAGCGAAAUUCCUUGUCGGGUAAGUUCCGACCCGCACGAAAGGCGUAACGAUUUGGGCACUGUCUCAACGAGAGACUCGGUGAAAUCAUAGUACCUGUGAAGAUGCAGGUUACCCGCGACAGGACGGAAAGACCCCGUGGAGCUUUACUGUAGCCUGAUAUUGAAAUUCGGCACAGCUUGUACAGGAUAGGUAGGAGCCUUUGAAACGUGAGCGCUAGCUUACGUGGAGGCGCUGGUGGGAUACUACCCUAGCUGUGUUGGCUUUCUAACCCGCACCACUUAUCGUGGUGGGAGACAGUGUCAGGCGGGCAGUUUGACUGGGGCGGUCGCCUCCUAAAAGGUAACGGAGGCGCUCAAAGGUUCCCUCAGAAUGGUUGGAAAUCAUUCAUAGAGUGUAAAGGCAUAAGGGAGCUUGACUGCGAGACCUACAAGUCGAGCAGGGUCGAAAGACGGACUUAGUGAUCCGGUGGUUCCGCAUGGAAGGGCCAUCGCUCAACGGAUAAAAGCUACCCCGGGGAUAACAGGCUUAUCUCCCCAAGAGUUCACAUCGACGGGGAGGUUUGGCACCUCGAUGUCGGCUCAUCGCAUCCUGGGGCUGUAGUCGGUCCCAAGGGUUGGGCUGUUCGCCCAUUAAAGCGGUACGCGAGCUGGGUUCAGAACGUCGUGAGACAGUUCGGUCCCUAUCCGUCGUGGGCGUAGGAAAUUUGAGAGGAGCUGUCCUUAGUACGAGAGGACCGGGAUGGACAUACCUCUGGUGUACCAGUUGUCGUGCCAACGGCAUAGCUGGGUAGCUAUGUGUGGACGGGAUAAGUGCUGAAAGCAUCUAAGCAUGAAGCCCCCUCAAGAUGAGAUUUCCCAACUUCGGUUAUAAGAUCCCUCAAAGAUGAUGAGGUUAAUAGGUUCGAGGUGGAAGCAUGGUGACAUGUGGAGCUGACGAAUACUAAUCGAUCGAAGACUUAAUC